rnacentral:lncRNA from 1 species
CUCAAAACAUCAGUUCAGGACAAAUUUUUCAAAUUAGUUGUAUGUAUUUUCCACGUAAAUAAGAUUCCACGUCACAUUAUGUAGACAAAUUAUGUCAAAACAACAUUGAUUCAGCCAGUUUGUGUCCAGUGGGAUUUUGUUGUCCAUAGAUUGAUGAGGGGAUUUGCGUACUUCCCCUUUUAGAUUGAAAGUAUCUGCUUUAAGGCAAAUCUCUGUUCAUGACAGAAACAGAGAAAAACAGAAAGUGAGAGGGAGAAGAGUUAACUUUUCACAGUGUGAGUUAACUACAGGACAAGAGUUUAGGGGUCAAGGUUCAUUCUCUCCAGUUCUGUUCCAUCUGUAUUGUGGGUCCAAACUUGGCUGAAAGAAAGAAAGUCCCAACAAGAUAUGACGGUUUUGACUUCAGAUUCAGACGUUUUGUCCACUUUCUGGGAUUGACCAUGUGACCCUUGAAGCCAGAGCUUGCAGUUAACACCCAUCCUCCAUCACCACCCUCAACGCCCUAGCAAGACCCAAGUCUACUUGAUUGUAAUAACGGCUCAUCGUUGCCUCUAGAGGGCGGGUUAUGAAGGCAUCUCCCAACAUCCUCCGAACGUCAAAUUUCAAAGUGAAUCUUUGCGACCUUGCUGACAGGGCUGUUUUUUCUGUAUCAUUAUGUUUUAAAAACCAUUUGGUCUCUGAGCUCAUACAGGAAAUUCUGCUAAGAUUUAUUGAGAGAAACUAGGAACUUGGAACUGGGAACUCAUCUGGAAACCUACCAGAAGCAUGUGGAUUGUUAGUAUGACACGAUGAUAACCCUAAGCUCUCUUUUAGGUCCUCAACAUCACUGUAUUGAUUUAAGUCUCAGACACGGGACAGCAGAGGAUUUUCUGAGUUUAUAUGAUCCAAUAUUCUCAGCCUGUGGGAGAGAUCUGUUUGUGUGCUGGAUCUGUUUGUGUGCUAUCUGUUUGCUGUGCUGGAGUGGGACAAUACCCCCCCCCUCUGUCACCCCCCCGUUCCCAUGGCCUCCUACCUUCUUGACAGCUGGCCUGUCGGGUCUCAGGGCGGUGAACCAGGUUCCAGUGAGUUGUUUGGCAGUAGAGUCUCAGGGUGGUGAACCAGAUUCCAGUGAGUUGUUGGCAGUAGAGUCUCAGGGCGGUGAACCAGAUUCCGUGAGUGUUUGGCAGUAGAGUCUCAGGCGGUGUGAAACCAGAUUCCAGUGAGUUGUUUGGCAGUAGAGUCUCAGGGCGGUGGACCAGAUUCCAGUGAGUUGUUGGCAGUAGAGUCUCAGGGCGGUGCACCAGAUUCCAGUGAGUUGUUGGCAGUAGAGUCUCAGGGCGGUGAACCAG